GUCCACGCCCUAAACGAUGUCAACUAGUUGUCGGGGAAGCAAUUCCUUGGUAACGCAGCUAACGCGUGAAGUUGACCGCCUGGGGAGUACGGUCGCAAGAUUAAAACUCAAAGGAAUUGACGGGGACCCGCACAAGCGGUGGAUGAUGUGGAUUAAUUCGAUGCAACGCGAAAACCUUACCUACCCUUGACAUGUCCAGAACCCCGAUGAAAGUUGGGGGUGCCCGAAAGGGAAUUGGAACACAGGUGCUGCAUGGCUGUCGU
rnacentral:rRNA from 1 species